CGCGAAUCGGAAAAUCGAGACAAAGAUAAAGAAAAGUUCAUUAUCAAAUGCAUAAAGAACAACGGAAAAAUAAAGCCGCUGAAUAAGUGAAAACCGAAAGGGAAAUGCUAGUGAAAAUUACAACCGGACCCUGCCCUUGAAAGUAAAAAGCAACCCACUGGAAUUCACUUCACGCACAAAACGACAUUAGAACGCAGCAGGAUGUGGAAAGUGUAGUAGAAAAGGCAGCAGACAACACGCAACGAAGGGCGGAAAACGUGGAAAUGACUAGCUAAUUAAUUAGCUAAGUAGGCAAAGAAAAGCGGCGAAAAAGGUGUACCUUCUAAACCAACAAUAAAUUCCGAUUUGUUGAAAAAUUUAUACCCAGCCAAGGCUUAAAAUGACAUCAUACGCAAAUGACACAACGGGCGCAGCAACAACCACAGCAACAUCAGCCGCAGCAGCAGCAGCAUCAGCUGGCGCAGUAGGAGCCGCAACAACAGUAGGCACCGCCCCCCAAUCAGCUGUGGGGGGCGUGGCCACUGCAGCUGAUUCAUCCAAAGUCAAGAGCCGCGACAAUUUGUCCAUUAGCCGUACAAUAUAUGGCGACGAAGAUGGCAAUAGUAGCGAUGGACGCGAGAAGGCCGACACCACGCCGGAAAAUAUCAAGAAAAUCGCCGAAAUCAUGGACAGUCCGAAUGGCACGACCUCGGCCAACUCGCCCAUCCCCUCCCCCCGACACGUGCAACUCAGGAAUCCAAUGAAUCCCGGCUACGUGGGCCUCGGGGCCGCCAUCGACAUCGACGAGUCCUGCGGCAAGUUCUGUCUUGGCAAGCCGCCACCAUCGCCGGCCGAGAAAGCGGCGGCACAAAGCAGAGCGAACCAUCAACAUGGCACUCCAGCCGGCAACAGCUACUCCAACACCAACCAUAAAUCCGCUGCCGAUGAGGAGGAGAACUCGAGCGAGUCGAAUGCAACCACGAAAGCGGCGCUAGCCUUCACCAUUGAUCAUUUCGAUGCCUCGGAGAACGAUUCUGCGGCUCAGGCGGCGCGCUACAAGAACAUGAUGGAGCGUUUCCAGAGUCGCCACAAGCGAGGUGCCUCCAUGUCGAAGCUGGAGACGGAAAAGGAUAACACCACGACCACCUCGAUCAGUGGACGGCAGUCGCAGAGGAGCAGUUUGGAUGCAGGCAGCAGUAUGGCGGAUGAUCUAUCCUCGCUGACGGCAGCCACGCCCAGUAGCGAACAGGCGCCUCCGGUGCAGGUGAAGAUGCGGGUGCGGGACCGCAGUGCGUCCCGGGUGAGAGACGCUUCCAAGCGGCACAGUUGGUCCCCGAGGAGUUCGGCCAAUGCGCCGGAACCAAGUGCAGCACCUGCUGCUCCCAGACCCACAAGUCGAUCCAAACUGCCACCACCGCCGGCGGCGACCAAGGGAACCUCCAAUCUGGUGGCCAAUCGCACGACCAACCAGUUCACACCCCGCUCCACCGCCAUGCAGUUGGCACUUCGCCAGGUGGAGAUGCUCUGUCCACAGCCACCGCUGGCGGAUGGCAAACCGCUGGCCGAGAAUGAUGCAGUCAGCGAAGCGGGCACCUACACCCUCGAUGGGGAUAACUAUACGGAGGAGCAGAAGGAUCUCAUGAACAUCGAUAGAAAUGGAAAGGGAGCGGGUGCCAAGCAGCGUCCCAAACAAUUGCCAGUAAAAUCAAACCGGGGAAGCAAUGUCCUGGAGGUGAACUACUACCAUGAAACGCCACUACAGGAACAGCUACCACAGCAACUGCCAGCUCAAAGGAGCUCAACAGGUGCCUAUCUGGAUCAACUAAAGAGUCGCGUGCUGCGUCCGCAGAUUCCCGCAUCGCCUCCCACUCCUCCAUCGCCGGCAGGAGAUAUGGGCUGCUUUACUAGUGUGACCACCAGCGGAGUGCUGGCCAAACAGCGGGCCUUGGAUACCCAUCCCAAGCUCACCCGCCACUCGCACAGCUUGUCCACCUCGCAGAUCGACAGCUCGGAGUACGUGAGCAAUGAGGCUAAACUGCGGCACACACAGGCCUUGUCCGGAUCGGCUACGGAUCGCCAGAAGGCCGAGUACCGCCUGAAUGUGUUCACUACUAGCACCAAUCAGCAGCACCAGUUGCCGGAGACACCCACCACGCCCACCCAGAACUCGGAGGCCGCCCUGCUGCAGACGGCGCAGACCAAGCAGGACUGGAUCCAGGAGUGGGCCCGCAAUGCCCGAGCCAGGAGUCUGGCGCAGGAUGUGAGCGGCACAAGCGCCAGCCGCCGGAGGCAGCAGCAACAGCAGCAGGCCCAAGCGCAGGCACAGCAACUAAUGACACGCAGCUACAAUUGCUCGGACACGUGCGGCGACUCCUUGACGGAUGACAGCCUGAGUUUGUACAACCAGCAGCGACAGUAUGCGGCGGCAGCCAAGCUCAAUCGCAAUAUGGCCGAGCGGUAUCGUCUGCUGGGCGACUGUGACUACGCCAGCGAUCCGGCGUUGUGCAGCCAUGGCGGAGGAGGCGGCGGUCAGAUGGUGGAGCCACCCUACAAGCCACCCAAGAGUCCCAGCAAGAUUCCAUCGCCGCUGCACACGCUGGGACGUGCGCGCAGUGCCAGUCGCCCGCGUCCCCCAACGGAUGCCUAUUUGGAGCAAACAGCUGCGGCUAUUAGUAACCUGCAGCAGUCACUCUCCCGCAGGAGCUCUGUUAAAUCCCCAGCUCAGAGUAGUCCUCAGCAUAGCUUGGAAUCUGGAAUGACCGCCGGAGCAGGCGGCGGCUAUAGACGAUCUCCGCUGCACCGGGUGCUCAUGACCAGCAGCAUCAACGAGGCGCAGCUGCAGUUGCUCACCAGUGGCGAGUACCUUCUCAAGCAAUUGCGUCGCCGGAAGAACUCCCUGGAGUAUGAUCCUAACCAGGAAGUGGAGCUGGUUGAGCCAGCUGCUGCCCCCUUGUCGCCGCUGCGUCGAUCGAGUAGCUUCCAGCAGCAGCAGGGUCAGCAUCCAGUGCGUCAGGCGCGUCCUAAUUUCCAGAACCUCUACACACCGCCCGCUGCCCGUCACGCCCACGCCUUGAGCACUGUUCACCAGCAGCAGCAACUGAAGAAAUCCGCCAGCAGCAACAAUUUCGAGCAGGCCUACAGCGACUACGAUAAUGAGUUGCAGUAUUAUAUAAACGAUGAGGAUGAAAUGGGCACCACUGGGGCUUACUAUUCCAGCAACGAAGAAGAUGAGGCAGAGGAGAACCAUGAAGACGCCCAAGGCUCAGUUCCGCUGAGUAAUACGCGCAUGAACAAGGCCCUACUGAUGCGGAUCGAGAGGAGCAAACAAAAGGUGGCUGGAUCACAGGCUCCAGCUAAGCCCACAUCAGCACCAGCGGGCAAGCUGCAUAUGGCACAAAGUGGAGCUGGUUUGGUGGCCUGUCCCAACACUCCAGAAAUGCCGCGUCGAGGAAUUAAGAGUGCGCCGAGGGUGGCUCCAGGAUCGGGCAAUCGAAACACCCGACAGUCAAUGCCCAGGGAAACGAGCCUCAGUCGAUUGGCCCAGCAGGUGCCCAGUUCGCUGGCCAAUGCCAAAAAGCAGCUGCUGCAAACGGCCAAUGCUGGUGUGAACUCCAAUUCGAGGGAUCAGCGCGUGCAACCCAAAUACCUGGACAUCUCCAAGUACAAGUCGGCGCAGUCCAAUAAUUUUCUGCGCAAAAAUGACGCCAAAAGUACGCUGAAGCCAGCGGAUCAAAUGAAACGAAGUCCCAGUGCAUCUUCCAUGGGUUUGAGUCGCGGCGAGGGAACGCGGGCCAGUAAUCGGAGUGUGCGCAGUACUGCCUCCGCGAUGAACACCAGCACAACAUCUCUAGGUGGCGGAAAUCCUGGAUCAAGAAACUCGUCUGCUAUGCGGCGCGACGCUUCAAUGAACAAACAAAAGGAAGCCGAAAUGGCCAUGUGGAAGCGUCGAUCCACCUACGAUCCCAUGAAGGCAGCCGCCGAGGAUCGACGCAGGAAGGAAGAAGCGCGACGUGCUCAAAACGAAGCUCAGCGACAGAUUAACGACGAGGCCGAUGAUAUGCCUUUUGAGAGACCAUCACGCUCCCACUAUCGCCGUGGACAGUUAUGACCAACGGAUGGUGUGCUAGUUACCGAUUUCUGAGCCAUCAACCUACACCUAAACAUUCAGUUGACUAUCUUUCCACGAAACCUAAAUAGAAAACCAAAUACUUUCCACUACAAAAACAUGCCACACGAUCUAACACGGUGCAAGCAGCAGCGGCAGCAGCAGAUUGUAUCACUAGGAUCCAAUUCUAGUGCCAGAUACAAUCGCCAAAUCGAAUCGAACAACGAUCAUUUUGAGAAGGGAUCUAUCUCGCGUAGUAUCCACAAAAAAAAACGAUUUUCCAAAGCAACGACAACUAGAAACAAAUAUAAAAUUACGACAGCCAACCUGCAGACGAUUGUGGGGCUAUCAUUUGCCAAUGUAAUAGAGAAUUCUUCAAGAACCAGUAUGUCCUGCGCCCAGCCAACAAUUUAACCAUCACGAGCGGGGGCAACAGCUACAGUCCUCGAAACUCCGUGGAAAACGACGCCUGGACGCUUGGUGAAUCCUCCGAGUUUGGGGA